ACUAGAAUAAUGAAUACAAAUUCCAAUUCUUUUUUUUUUUUUUUGGGUGCUAAUUCUCACAUUUUGUUGUUGAUGUGUUUUAUGAUUUUAUUUUAUGUUUAAGGUGUGUCUUAAAGCUAGAAUAUGUCUUAAAGUUAAAGCACAUUUGUUAAAAAUACUGAUAGAUUAUUUAUCAAUCUGAGUGGAGUAUGAAUCACAAUCUUAACAACCUAACCAAUCAUAUUUGGUCACUUAUUUAUGUGUUAAAUAUGUUGUAUAUGGAAUUUGAUUCAAUCAUAAUUCCAUAUCCUGCUAGUUUUUAAUUAUUAGUAAAGAAACAUUGUUCCACUAAGUGAUCCAUUCACCCAUUUUGUUCAUUUAUAUUUACCCCAUAUCAAAAAUCUAAAGGUAAAUUUUAACACUCC
rnacentral:lncRNA from 1 species